rnacentral:rRNA from 1 species
UGCGUAGGUGGCGGGGUAAGUCUGGUGUGAAAUCUCGGGGCUCAACCUCGAAACUGCACUGGAUACUGCUUUGCUAGAGUAUUGGAGAGGAGAUUGGAAUUUACGGUGUAGCAGUGAAAUGCGUAGAUAUCGUAAGGAAGACCAGUGGCGAAGGCGAAUCUCUGGACAAUUACUGACACUGAGGCACGAAGGCCAGGGGAGCAAACG